CUGUCAGUCUGAAUCCGGUAGUGCCUUUUGGCACCAGAUUUGUGCUCUAAGUACAACUUGAUGAGGAGAUUGCUCAAUCUCCUUUGAAAGUGUGAUCCAUUGCCUAAUAGCUGAAAGUGUCUCCUCCAUUACUGGAAUCAGCUGCCCAGCACUGGGAUUACUGGAAAGAACUGUUGUGAUGGGAACAUUUGAUCACAUAUGUAAAUUUUCUGGCAUCUUCUGAAAGGGACAGUGGGCUGCAUCUGAUAAAGACAUGGAUCCAGAAACAAUGUAAUGAGAAUGAGAAUGGCGGGGUGGGAUCCUGAGGGGGGAUGUGUGGAACAAUGGUCUUGAGGUCAGGAAGGUAGAGAAGAGGAACGUUUUCACUAGAAGGGAGAAACAAGGAGAGGAAGUGGACUUUUACUAACAUUCCAGACUGAGUAGAAACCUGGGGAGCAUGUCCAGCUGGCUGAAGAACCUGGUAGAGAACAGCAGCCCUGAGCUUGAAUUCCUUCCCCAACUUCACAGAUGAUUCCUUUGGGAAUGUCACCCUCUUUACCAAAGCCUAAUUUCUCCCACUUGUGCUUAUGAAUUUGGAUACAAACUGUGCCUCCUCCAUUUCUGGAAUCAGCUGUCCAUUGAUGGGAAGCCCUUAAAGGAAUUCCAUUUGCUGCUCCAAUUCUGACCUCACAGACAUCAUUACAGAAUCAUUUUGGAUACUCAAGAGAUUGCAAUGCUCCAAAAAAAUUGUUGUUCUCAGAGCUCCUGGAAACACAAAGGGCCAACAGAAAAUCUCUCCAGUGUUCUGGAUGUCAGAGAGAAAAAAUCACCAGUAUCAUCAUCAACAAAUAUUAACAGAACGCCAGUGGAGUGUGAGGACUGUGCAAGGAGCCUCGGGGGAUGCAGAGAGACAAAAGACAUGCCAAGACACUCAUAAUCUACGUGAAAAGACAGGACCCUGACAUGCUUAGAUAAACAGCAGCAAAAUUAGCUCCUCAAUCUUUUGCUACCCUGUCCAUCCAAUCUCCAAAGACAGUGCAUAGACCCAUUAUGGCACUUAAAAUAAUUCCCAUUUAUCUGUUUGGCUUUCUAUCUCAUUCAAACAGUGAGUUUCCCAAAUACUGAUGAUUCUCUCUUUUGCAAUUUCAUACCCCCAAUGCCCACUACAAUAUUUGAAAUACAGAUGAUGUUCAGUAAAUAUUGAUUGGAUGGAUUUCAAUGGACUGAAGGCGAUUUAGGCAGGCAACUUAGACGCAGAGGUAAAAAAAAAAAAAAACCUAGAUGCAUAGUUAGAAAAUGGAUGUCAGAACCCUGUUUUAGUUUCUUGGCUAUAUGGGUUACCUUCUCUAUGCCUCAGUUCUCUCAUAUCUAAUCUAGAAAUAACACUUGCCUUGUAGGAUUGUUGUGAAUAUCAAAUGAAAACAACUAUAAAAGUAUUCUGGGUACUUGCAUUUAAGUAUAAGGUAUUAUUAUGCUAAAUGAUUGGUACAGGUGGUAAAUGCUAAAGGAUGUAUAAUUAACAUAACUGGAAAACAGGUACAUAAUUAAGUGAAGUUGCUUAAUACCAUCUAAUGGUAACUCAGGGAAUUGGGAGUCGUUAUUCUCUCCUGGAAAUGUCUAAUCAUUCUCUUCCAUGUGAAUGUACCAUAAAUGUCAAAUAAUAAACUGACUGUUAUGUGAUUUAGGAAAUUCACAUGGCUCUUUUUUAUCUAUAAAACUACAGUCUUACAGGGCUUCAGUUGACUAUCUGCAAAAAGAGGAGCUUGGGUUGGAGAAUCUUCAGUUUCUUCCAGUUUAAAUGGCAUGAGAAUUGACUUCCACUCAAUUCUACCAGCCAAAUGAACUCAAACUGUCCAGCAGUACUCAGUGCUUCUUUCAUAGCUUUUAAGUAUUCACCUUAUCAGAAUAGGACAGGCAGCACUAACACGGCUUUUCCAUUGGCUGUGUUUUCUUGUGGCUUCAAAACAAAGGAAUUUUGGCCUUUGUAUUGAAUUCCAUUAAGAUGCCAUCAGAGGAAGACAAUGAGUCUAAGACUAUUUGAUACUUUUGUGAAAAAGCCUGUUAUCCUGAAGGUAUUUUUUUACCUCUCCCAGCCCCAAAUUUUCUGCAGAAUAAUGCACAUAUAAUGAAUGCUCAACAAAUCUUUACUGAACAAGAGGCUGAUUUCUUUUCCUUUGAUCCUAGAAGCUAUAAUGGAAUUCAACAUAAAAAAAUGUUGAGAUAUUGGAACUGUUCUCAUUCAUUCUUUCCCC
rnacentral:lncRNA from 1 species